CUGGGUUUAAAGCAUAUCCAAGCAUGUCGUGCUCAUGCAAGUUAUCAUUUUCCUCAGAGCUUUUUAAGCUCUUAAAUCAGAUUGGAUGAUGUGCCUUGAAUCACAACAAAGUAGCCUUGAAUGUCGACUGAAAAGAGCUACAGGCUAAUUUUAUACUGAGGAAAACUGUUUUGUGGAUUGACACAGCUUGGUGAAGAGUCUCUGGACAUUUCUUUCUUUUAAAAAUAACAGGAGACAGCUGUAAAUAUUGAAAAGCUGUAGUAAAAGCGGAAAUUGCUAGAGACAUGUAACAAGCUAUUUUCAGCUAUUUCUAAAAUGUCAUCUUCUGCAAAGGCAAUAAAGGCAUUUCAACAUCGAUAUAUAUUGACUUAACAAUGAUAACUUUUGAAAUUCAUUUGAUGGAGCUUCUAUUCGAACAUCUGAUCAUUACUUGGAAUCAAAAAGAUUAUACUAAUGUCAUCGCUACACGACGAUUGGGAAAAAAGUUAAAGACUGCCAUCUAGAGAAGAAGUCCUGCACUGUGCUCCAGUCAUUUGAAAUUAAAUGCAAUCUAGUUUGAAUAUGUAAAAUUAAAACUUUCUAGGUGAGGGUAAUUGCACUGCAGAUAAACUUUUGAGGCAUCAGGAUAAGGACAUUUCUUUCCAGAUAAGCUUGUGCAGUAAACAUUUACAUUAUAUUAUCAGAGCAUUAUAAUAACCUUUACACCAUGCGUGAAGACCUAAUAGUCCUUUCAUUGACUGCAGUGUUUCAUAAAUAUGUUAAUUAUUUUAGUUCCAGCAUUAAUUACCAUGGUCUAGAUUUUUUUUGUGUAUUUUAAUUGCAUCAAUCAGUAGUUGUAGCAAUUCUGUUUAAAAAGUAUGUCUCUCAAGCCAGAUAGAUCCCAUGUACUUUUUUUUCAUUUUCAAAAGCUCCUCUGUUUACAUUGCAACAAUCUUUAAAGAAAAAAUUGUGCAAUAAAAAAAGCAAUGGUGUGUCUUUGUUAUGAUAUCCGAGAUUAGCUUAGCUCUGAAGUGCUGAUGUUGAAAGUAUAUAUGAUUGACAUUCUGGUCCACAUAAACUCCAAAUGUUUAAGUACAGUUCACAAAUUUUACAUGGUUAAAUGAAGUUUACUUUGAUUCUAGUUUUGUUACCCAGCAGGUAGACACUUUGUGCAUCCACUAAUUGUUUAAAUCUCUGCAGAACUAUUGAAGCAAUUAA